GGUUAAGCGACUAAGCGUACACGGUGGAUGCCCUGGCAGUCAGAGGCGAUGAAGGGCGUGCUAAUCUGCGAUAAGCGCCGGUAAGGUGAUAUGAACCGUUAUAACCGGCGAUACCCGAAUGGGGAAACCCAGUGUGACUCGUCACACUAUCAUUAACUGAAUCCAUAGGUUAAUGAGGCGAACCGGGGGAACUGAAACAUCUAAGUACCCCGAGGAAAAGAAAUCAACCGAGAUUCCCCCAGUAGCGGCGAGCGAACGGGGAGGAGCCCAGAGCCUGAAUCAGCAUGUGUGUUAGUGGAAGCGUCUGGAAAGGCGCGCGAUACAGGGUGACAGCCCCGUACACAAAAGCGCAUGUGCUGUGAGCUCGAUGAGUAGGGCGGGACACGUGGUAUCCUGUCUGAAUAUGGGGGGACCAUCCUCCAAGGCUAAAUACUCCUGACUGACCGAUAGUGAACCAGUACCGUGAGGGAAAGGCGAAAAGAACCCCGGCGAGGGGAGUGAAAAAGAACCUGAAACCGUGUACGUACAAGCAGUGGGAGCCCCACCACCAAAGCAUUCUCUGGUGUUGAAGGCCCUGCAAAGCAGCAUCGCGGUGGCGGAGCGUCGUUUGCGACGCCCAACACACAAAACAAGCGGUGAAUGCUUUGGGGUGGGGUGACUGCGUACCUUUUGUAUAAUGGGUCAGCGACUUAUAUUCUGUAGCAAGGUUAACCGAAUAGGGGAGCCGGAGGGAAACCGAGUCUUAAUUGGGCGUUAAGUUGCAGGGUAUAGACCCGAAACCCGGUGAUCUAGCCAUGGGCAGGUUGAAGGUUGGGUAACACUAACUGGAGGACCGAACCGACUAAUGUUGAAAAAUUAGCGGAUGACCUGUGGCUGGGGGUGAAAGGCCAAUCAAACCGGGAGAUAGCUGGUUCUCCCCGAAAGCUAUUUAGGUAGCGCCUCGUGAAUUCAUCUCCGGGGGUAGAGCACUGUUUCGGCUAGGGGGCCAUCCCGGCUUACCAACCCGAUGCAAACUGCGAAUACCGGAGAAUGUUAUCACGGGAGACACACGGCGGGUGCUAACGUCCGUCGUGAAGAGGGAAACAACCCAGACCGCCAGCUAAGGUCCCAAAGUCAUGGUUAAGUGGGAAACGAUGUGGGAAGGCCCAGACAGCCAGGAUGUUGGCUUAGAAGCAGCCAUCAUUUAAAGAAAGCGUAAUAGCUCACUGGUCGAGUCGGCCUGCGCGGAAGAUGUAACGGGGCUAAACCAUGCACCGAAGCUGCGGCAGCG
rnacentral:rRNA from 1 species